UACGAAGGUCCCAAGCGUUAUCCGGAUUUUAUUGGGUUUAAAGGGUGCGUAGGCGGGCUAUUAAGUCAGUGGUGAAAUCUCCGAGCCUAACUCGGAAAUUGCCAUUGAUACUGAUGGUCUUGAGUACAUUUGAAGUGGGCGGAAUGUGUCAUGUAGCGGUGAAAUGCUUAGAUAUGACACAGAACACCGAUUGCGUAGGCAGCUCACUAAACUGUAACUGACGCUGAGGCACGAAAGCGUGGGGGAGCAAACAGG
rnacentral:rRNA from 1 species